rnacentral:ncRNA from 1 species
CUAUGGCUUUAUUUUGUCAUGGCGAAGGGAG